GAGCAGAGUACAUUAGUGUAAAAUACAGAACAUUAUACUGUACUAUACAUUUCUUUAUUCUACUGUAUGUACUAUACUCUACUUUUCAUAACUAUAAUGUACUGUGAUGUCCAAAUUUAUGAAAAACAGAUGUCUGUGAUUGGACCAAAUCUGAAUCAAUUAUAGACGUCUAUGUUUGUGCCAAAUACAAAUCGGUCCGGACCGGAUGACUAUGGACGUUGAAACCGGACCAAAUCUGAACCAAACAUAGACAUCUAUGAUUGGUUAAAAAAAUGUAAAUCAAAAUUAGUGGACGUUACAAUCAAGGCCAAUCUGGACGCCACCAAGACAAAACGUUGGCGUCGGAUAAACAUGUGCUAGAGAGCACUAAAUCCAAAGAUAGUGAGAUAGAAAGUGCAGUCCCCAACAUGCAUCAGGUCAUAGGUGAUCCUCUCUCUGUUAUAUCAGCCCAUUAUCUGCUUCAAAAUGUCAUCCCAUCAUGUUUUUGCAAAAAGUUAGGCCUCAACCAAUUGAUGCCUAUGUCAACUGGUUAUACUCCCAGCAGGCUUUGUGGUGCCAAUGGGAAAAUAUGAGCUGUCAACCAACUGAUGCUUAUGUAAAUACAUUGCAGUCAAUGGGAAAAUAAAACAUUAACCAACUGACUCUUCUGUCAAUACAUUGCAUUCAAUGAGAAAAGAUGAGUGUCACAAUGUUGAUGCUUAUGUCAAUACAUCACAGUCAAUAGGAAAAAAUGUCUCUCAACCAAUUGAUGCUUAUGUUAAUCACAGGAGGCUGCUGAGGGGUGAAUGGCUCAUAGCAAUGUCCGGAACGAAGCAAAUGGAAUGGCAUCAAACACCUGGAAAUCAUGUGUUUGACACCAUUCCACUGAUUCUGCUCCAGCCAUUACCACAAUCCCGUCCUCCCCAAUUAAAUUGCCACAAACAUCCUGUGAUGUCAAUACAUUUCAUUCAAUGGGAAAAGAUGUGUGUCACAGGAUAGACGCUUAUGUCAAUACAUUUAGAGUAGUACUGAGCGAUUAGUGCUUUUUGAUUUCGGUUUGAUUAAUUAAAAAAGAAACAUUAAAUGCAUUAUGUGGGUUGAAUGCUGUAACACAGAAUAAAACAAUUAAUAAAAAUCCCAUGAUGGCAGUGACUGCCCAUUACCGCAUUGCCAUCAUUUAUUCACAUUACUUUACUUUAAAAUAUUUCAGUUGUUGUGCAAGUCAUCAUCUCAUUUCUAUAGACCUGCUGCCUAUGCUGUCUGACAAAAUCACUAUUUUAGUAGUUCUUCAAAGUAAAUAAUGUAUUCUUUUAUGACUGCUGAACACCAACUAUCAAUCACUUCAUGUAUUUUCAGGUAGAGAUGCCUCCCGAAGCAACUGCUCUCUAUCCCUCUCGAUCGUGCGUCUUCUGUCUCUUCUUUCCCUUUCCGGUGUGCCGCACACAGACCGGCGCCUAAUGGAUUAUGGUCAUUAUAGUUAAUUACCAUGUUUUCUGCACUAAACUAUGUAUAAAUUUGGCCUGUAGGAAAAUACAACUCCCUACUACAUCGCACAGUUCGGACUUGUUCUGAUUUAUCUCUGGAAAAAACUGAGCUGGUCACAGGGGGAAAAAUGAACAACAUGGAAUUAAAAUAAUUGAACCGAUGUCGGUCAAUUAGUUGCUUAAAAACUGAAAAAAUAACCUACAUUUUGGUUAAUCGCUCAGCAAUAAUUUGCAUUCAAUGGGAAAAUAAGAGUGUCACAAGGUUGACGCUUAUCUCAGUACAUUUCAUUAGAUGGGAAAAUAAGCAUCAACCUUGUGACACUUAUCUCAGUACAUUGCAUUCAAUGGGAAAAUAAGUGUCACAAGGUUGACGCUUUUCUCAGUACAUUUCAUUAGAUGGGAAAAUAAGAGUGUCACAAGGUUGACGCUUAUCUCAGUACAUUGCAUUCAAUGGGAAAAUAAGAGUGUCACAAGGUUGAUGCUUAUCUCAGUACAUUGCAUUCAAUGGGAAAAUAAGAGUGUCACAAGGUUGAUGCUUAUCUCAGUACAUUGCAUUCAAUGGGAAAAUAAGAGUGUCACAAGGUUGAUGCUUAUCUCAGUACAUUGCAUUCAAUGGGAAAAUAAGCGUCAACCUUGUGACACUUAUCUCAGUACAUUGCAUUCAAUGGGAAAAUAAGUGUCAAGGUUGAUGCUUUUCUCAGUACAUUGCAUUCAAUGGGAAAAUAAGAGUGUCACAAGGUUGACGCUUAUCUCAGUACAUUUCAUUAGAUGGGAAAAUAAGCAUCAACCUUGUGACACUUAUCUCAGUACAUUGCAUUCAAUGGGAAAAUAAGUGUCACAAGGUUGAUGCUUUUCUCAGUACAUUGCAUUCAAUGGGAAAAUAAGAGUGUCACAAGGUCGACGCUUAUCUCAGUACAUUGCAUCCUUAGUUCAUUCAGUUGUACAAAUCUCCAGGUGGUGGGAACGGGCCAUCUCCAGAUUGUCGGGAAUGUUGAUUUAUGCUGACUGGCCUUGACUUCGUGCUGAUAACGCGAGGGCUCAAGAGCUAGAGGGGCCCUCUGUUUGUGAAAUGGAACGUUUGGAAAACGCUGACGUCAUUUUCAGUUUAUAACCUGUGGAAAUGUGUGUAAGCAUUCAGUACUCUCUUGUAAUAAACGCUGUUACUUUUGGCUUUUAA